UUUCCCCUGCGGUGCCCGUCAAGACCUUAGAUUCUGUGAACCAACACUUGACGCGGUUGCCGACUCAAGCAGCACUGGUGUGCGCGUCCGACACGGAAGCGCCUGAUGUGCUCGGAAGGCGACCACCUUGAACCUUCGGUUCAAGAUGCAGGUCUGGCGGCACAGGCGGGGGAUCG
rnacentral:other from 1 species